rnacentral:rRNA from 1 species
CCUACGGGUGGCAGCAGUGGGGAAUAUUGCACAAUGGGGGAAACCCUGAUCCAGCGACGCCGCGUGAGUGAGGAAGUAUCUCGGUAUGUAAAGCCCUAUCAGCAGGGAAGAAAAUGACGGUACCUGACUAAGAAGCCCCGGCUAACUACGUGCCACCAGCCGCGGUAAUACGUCGGGGGCAAGCGUUAUCCGGAUUUACUGGGUGUAAAGGGAGCGUAGACGGCUAAUCAAGUCCGAAGGGAAAACCCAGGGCUCAACUUUGGGACUGCUUUUGAAACUGAGUAGCUAGAGUGCAGGAGAGGUAGGCGGAAUGCGUAGUGUAGCGGUGAAAUGCGUAGAUAUUAGGAGGAACACCAGUGGCGAAGGCAGCUUACUGGACUGUAACUGACGUUGAGGCUCGAAAGCGUGGGGAGCGAACAGGAUUAGAUACCCGAGUAGUC